GUAGGUGGCAUGCGUUGUCCGGAAUUAUUGGGCGUAAAGCGCGCGCAGGUGGUUCUUUAAGUCUGAUGUGAAAGCCCCCGGCUCAACCGGGGAGGGUCAUUGGAAACUGGGGAACUUGAGUGCAGGAGAGGAAAGUGGAAUUCCACGUGUAGCGGUGAAAUGCGUAGAUAUGUGGAGGAACACCAGUGGCGAAGGCGACUUUCUGGCCUGGAACUGACACUGAGGCGCGAAAGCGUGGGGAGCAAACAGGGAUUAGAUACCCUGGUAGUCCACGCCGUAAACGAUGAGUGCUAAGUGUUGGGGGGGUUUCCCGCCCCUCAGUGCUGCAGCUACCGCAUUAAGCACUUCGCCUGGGGAUACGGUCGCAAGACUG
rnacentral:rRNA from 1 species